rnacentral:rRNA from 1 species
UGGGGAAUAUUGGACAAUGGGCGAAAGCCUGAUCCAGCCAUGCCGCGUGUGUGAAGAAGGCCUUUUGGUUGUAAAGCACUUUAAGCGAGGAGGAGGCUACUUGGAUUAAUACUCUAGGAUAGUGGACGUUACUCGCAGAAUAAGCACCGGCUAACUCUGUGCCAGCAGCCGCGGUAAUACAGAGGGUGCGAGCGUUAAUCGGAUUUACUGGGCGUAAAGCGUGCGUAGGCGGCUUCUUAAGUCGGAUGUGAAAUCCCUGAGCUUAACUUAGGAAUUGCAAUCGAAACUGGGAAGCUAGAGGAUGGGAGAGGAUGGUAGAAUUCCAGGUGUAGCGGUGAAAUGCGUAGAGAUCUGGAGGAAUACCGAUGGCGAAGGCAGCCAUCUGGCCUAAUACUGACGCUGAGGUACGAAAGCAUGGGGAGCAAACAGG